GGACUACACGGGUAUCUAAUCCUGUUUGAUCCCCACGCUGUCGCGCCUGAGCGUCAGAAACGGGCCAGUGAGCCGCCUUCGCCACCGGUGUUCUUCCCAAUAUCUACGAAUUUCACCUCUACACUGGGAAUUCCACUCACCUCUCCCGUACUCGAGCCUGACAGUUUCAAAGGCAAUUCCGGAGUUGAGCUCCGGGCUUUCACCCCUGACUUGAAAGGCCGCCUGCGCGCGCUUUACGCCCAGUAAUUCCGAACAACGCUAGCCCCCUUCGUAUUACCGCGGCUGCUGGCAC
rnacentral:rRNA from 1 species